rnacentral:rRNA from 1 species
UACGGAGGGAUCCAAGCGUUAUCCGGAAUCAUUGGGUUUAAAGGGUCCGUAGGCGGUUUGGUAAGUCAGUGGUGAAAGCCCAUCGCUCAACGGUGGAACGGCCAUUGAUACUGCCAGACUUGAAUUAUUAGGAAGUAACUAGAAUAUGUAGUGUAGCGGUGAAAUGCUUAGAGAUUACAUGGAAUACCAAUUGCGAAGGCAGGUUACUACUAAUGGAUUGACGCUGAUGGACGAAAGCGUGGGUAGCGAACAGG